UUUAGUAUUUUAUGUAUCUAUGUAUCUAUAUUUCAUUAUUAGAUAAAUCAAAAGAUUUUGUUCUAUAUAUUACGUACACAAUAACCUUUUCGGUACGAUUGUCGACUUUAGUCGAUAAACACCGAAUAUACACGACCGAUUUUCAGUACGCAGUAUACUGUGGCAAGCGUCGUGUCGCGUCGUGUCGCGUCGUAUCGUAUCGAAAAGGUUAUGGUUAAUUAACCAAUUUGAAAUCGCGACAAAUAAUUUUUAAUUAUUCAAUACAAUAAAAUAUUAAUUGCAAAAAAAGUACACUUUAUUAGAAGAAACAAAUUUUUCAUUAAAAGCAUAAAGGUAUAUUACGGUUCUUUCAAUUUUUUAUGCUUCAAAGUUUUCGUUUGAAAGUAAUAUUGUAUUACUUACAUUUUCAAUUCCAUUACGGUUACAAAAACUUCGAAUUCUUUUCAUCAUUUUUCCGCGAUAUGGACAAGGAUGUUCAUAUUGUCGCCAAUUUCUAAAAUAAAUAUAUAUGUAUCGCGAUCCAGAGGAAUGGUCGAAGAACGUCGAAACGAAAUUACGAUUUCACGUGUGACGAUGAAACUAUUUUAUUUCUUCUCUGCGAGGCUACGUAGCCAGUGAAUUUGCUGAUAUUCGACGAUCGUAAAGUUUUUACACGAAACAGCGUAAAUUUAGCGGAGAGAAAGAAUAUAUUUGAGAAUAUUAUAUGAAUUGAUAUAUCGAAAAAAGUUAAAUAUUGUGCAUAUAAUUGAUUUCAAUACGACAACAAAAUAGAGAGAUUUUUCUACAGUUUCGUGUAGCAAAUGAAAAAAUAAAAAUACUUUUUUUCCCCCCAUCUAAAGACACUGAACAAUUUUUUCACGACUGAAUACACAAUAGACUCGAAGAUUAAACUCGCUGCACGAUUUUAUUUUAUUCCAUCGAAUUCUUAAAUUUUUAAACAUUGGACGACAAAAAUUCAAAAAAAUUAAAAUUAUUAAAAUAGAAUUCCGAUAUUAUAUUUAUCGAAUGGUAUCAAAUUUCUGAGAUGCGAUAUCUCGAAUCUGAUAUCGACAAGAUUUUUCUCUAAAUUUACAGGGAUUACGGAAUAUAUAUAGGGGGAAAAAUUCGUGACACUUGCAGAUGUCAUCCGCGUGGUCCAGUCACGGGGGAGAUGAUAAGUGGGCGCGAGGAGGGAAGAAUGAAAAAUUUCAUUUUAAAGUGCGCCAGGACCAAGCCGUUCCUGUAAAUUAAACUUUAAUCAAAAAUUCCCUUGAGCGUUCGCCCCAACGUGUUACGAUCCUGCGGUGAAUCGUGCUUUCUCUCGACCAGCCGCGAAUCGUCACAGAAAAAACUAUCCUCCCGCAACUUACGAAACAACGUUAUUAAAUGAAAUUUUGUUUACUUUUCUUGCAAUAAGAAUGGCCCGCAAUUAAUUUGUCCCCACGGUCUUCGAAACAUUUUAGAAAGAAUUUUAUGCGAUCUAUUUAAUUUUUAUCCCGUGUAAAGUAUUUUUCUCAAAAAUAUUUCGAGAUACUUUUAAAUUUCGAAUAAUUCGAAAAUCUUGAUGGAAUAUUUUUUCAACCGUUGAUAAUCGAAGAAGAGAUGUAAUUCGAUCUUUAAUUUUCAAAUUUCCAAAAAUUUAUGAAAAUACGAAUAAGUUCAUCGAGAUUUUUUUUAAAACAUUUUUAUAACGAUAAAUUAAAAUCAAUAUCGAAGAAUUUUAUUAAAUAUUUUUCAAUAUUGAAAUAAUUGUAGAGAAAAAGGAAAGAUUUGACGUUUCACAAGGAAAUUACUGGAAAAUAUAUUUAAUUGCGUAGGAUCCAAGUUAUCCUUUGGUUCUCUAACAAAGGUCUGCAAAAUAUUCAUUAUAUAUUCGCUCUCAUUUUAAUUAAUUGCAGAAAAAUUGCAUCGUAAAUUAAAUUUUAUCGUGUAAUUUAUCUUUCUAACGGAUAAUUGAAAAAUAUUGAAUUAAUCGGGAGGAAUAUUCAACUAGAAAAUCGAUUUAAUUUUAGAAAAAUAUAAACCUGUUGAUCGCAUCUGUAUCUGUUCCUGUUGAGGAGGAAUAAAUAAAAAUACGAUUAAUAUACAAAUGUUAAA